rnacentral:rRNA from 1 species
UACAGAGGCCUCGAGCGUUGCGCGGAAUUACUGGGCGUAAAGGGCUCGUAGGCGGCCAACUAAGUCAGACGUGAAAUCCCUCGGCUCAACCGGGGAACUGCGUCUGAUACUGGAUGGCUUGAGUUCGGGAGAGGGAUGCGGAAUUCCAGGUGUAGCGGUGAAAUGCGUAGAUAUCUGGAGGAACACCGGUGGCGAAGGCGGCAUCCUGGACCGAUACUGACGCUGAGGAGCGAAAGCCAGGGGAGCAAACGGG